GACGAACGCUGGCGGCGUGCUUAACACAUGCAAGUCGAACGGUGAACUCCGCUUGCGGGGGGAUCAGUGGCGAACGGGUGAGUAACACGUGGGCAACCUGCCCUCAGCUCUGGGAUAACUCCAAGAAAUUGGGGCUAAUACCGGAUAUGACCGCUGACCGCAUGGUCUGGUGGUGGAAAGAUUUAUCGGCUGGGGAUGGGCCCGCGGCCUAUCAGCUUGUUGGUGGGGUAGUGGCCUACCAAGGCGACGACGGGUAGCCGGCCUGAGAGGGUGACCGGCCACACUGGGACUGAGACACGGCCCAGACUCCAACGGGAGGCAGCAGGGGGGAAUAUUGCGCAAUGGGCGAAAGCCUGACGCAGCGACGCCGCGUGGGGGAUGACGGCCUUCGGGUUGUAAACCUCUUUCAGCAGGGACGAAGCGAAAGUGACGGUACCUGCAGAAGAAGCACCGGCCAACUACGUG
rnacentral:rRNA from 1 species